UGUCAAUAUUAGCGAACAAACAGAGAUAUAUGAAUCAAGCUAACUUGACCGUUUGGCUUUUGUUCGUGGUGCUCAGUGGAAUUUCCGUUUCCAUGGCGACAUCUAGAAAAUGCUGCGUUUGUGUUUGCGCCUAACGAUAUCUGUCAAAAGACGGAUAAGAUAUUAUGUUGGUCCUCUGAAUGCCCUCAGGCGAUUUGGUGAGCGGGGACAUUUCUGUUAGACUUUCAAACAAAAAACAAAAAAAAAAGAAGUCCAGGUUUAGAUAAGUAUUUAAAGGAGCGGCAGUAAAAAUGAAAGACCUCAGGCAUGGCUGGUGAACCAGAUCGUUUCUUUCCAUAAGUCAUGGGGGGAGAUGAGACAGUAAAUGAGCUGGGAACAUGUUAGUAAUGGCCUGACUACUGCAAUCAUCGCUGUGGACGGGCAUGGUCAAACCUCCAGAUGCUUCAAAGACAAAUAAGGGGAGAACUAAUACAUCAUAAUCUCAAUACACGCACUGUGAUGGAUUAUAAACCCUCCCAGUAAGGGGGAUAAACUCUUUUCAGUGAAAACACAGGGCAGCAGUUCAAACCAGUGGUUGGCAUGAAAAGACACACAAAAAAAGUCGUGUUCUUUGGUAUUUGCAUAUUUGUUUUAACUCCUGCACCCAAGAACCUUAACAUCAAUAAAUACUGGAUGCCUUAGAUGGUUGCAUUCUUUUAAAGAGAGCAAAAAAUAAUCAAUUUAGCUAUGCAUCAUAAGAGCAAGAAGAAAGAAAACGAUAAUUGUGGUGAGCUUAAUAACACAAAGGAGUAAAUUAAGUGCAUAGUUGUAUAAUCAUGACAGACUUGUGACAUUUUCUGUACACAAACCUAAAUAAAAAUAAUAAAACACUAAAGCAGUAGCUCAAUUUUAACCACUAUGUCAUUUACAUUUAAAGAAAUUCUUUCAGUUUGAGGUUUAAAAUAAGGCUGGAUCUUUUUUUUUUUUUGCUUGAAUGUACGGUUAAAGCAAAUCCACAGGAACCCAGAGGAGGAACAUAAAGAGCUAAAUAUGAACAAUAAAAAAAAGUCACACAGUCACACUGUGUGGGAGGACAUUACCCAGUAAAAAAAAAAAAGAAAAGAAAAGGUCCUCCUGGCUCCAGAGUCAGAAAGACUGGGGCAGCGGUCCCCGAGCAGCGUUAGCAAACCAUGUACAUGUGUGGGGACAAAUGAGCAAAUGUCUUCUGCCAGAUUCUCCGUCCAAUAAGCCAAGACUGAGCCGCGCGCGCGCUGCGGGCCUCGGCUAUGACUAAACCAAGCGGGCUUCCUGAGUCGACGUGACGGCGAGGGAAGCAGGCCCGUGAGUCACAGCUUGUUUGUUUGCUCUCUCGGCUGCGGCGUGACAGCGGUCAGGCCUCUCGGUACGAGCGGUCGCAGCGGUGUCUGGGUCACGGCGGACGGGGUCCUGGGGGGCUGACAGCAGGCUAGCCCCGGGGCUUUUGGAGCGGCUGAGCCCAGACGGAGCCCCGAGGACCUCCGGGAGGCACGUGCUCGGCCGACUCCUGCACUCACUCACUCCUUCUUUUUUCCUGGCGUUCAUCGCUGGCUCCCACCGCAACACAUGUUAUAGGAUAUAAGUCUGCUGAAGUUUAGUGAGAUGGACAGCCCGCCAAUUAGAAAAGCACUUCAACCGUGACCUAGAGGAAAACACAACGAGUACAAGUGUGCCCUUCCAUAACUUACGGAUUUCGAAUGCAACGACUUAACAACCGCUACUGAACUCGGACAGCGGCCAAGUCCUGAAACACACUGUGACGUUUGCGCCGCUUACGUGGAUGAUUAUCACGGCCAUAGAAAGGAAAGAAGUCUGACCACAUCUAACCACGGUGCGACGGCCUCCUGAAAUAGUCUCAACCUCACGGACAUCUUUCCUCGUAGAACCGAUGACAACGUUGUGACCUCUGCGGUUCAUCUGUAAGGUUGUUGUUCAGACGAUCAUAUCAAAUCAAGUACAAGACAAUAAGUAAUCCAGUGUAAUUGCAUUACCACAUGCAUCCAGUCAUCAAAAUAAGGCUGCUCUCAUGGGAUUUCUCCUCUAAAGAGCAGCUAGAAGAGAACGUCAUCCUCUUUCAGCUAUGAAUUGACAAGAAAGAAAAAGAAAUAACACUGUAUUUACCGUUAAAGAAAGUAAAUUAGCUGCGUUUCCAUUGAUCGUGUAACU